rnacentral:rRNA from 1 species
UACGUAGGGUGCGAGCGUUAAUCGGAAUUACUGGGCGUAAAGCGUGCGCAGGCGGUCCGCAAAGUCUGAUGUGAAAGCCCCGGGCUUAACCUGGGAACUGCGUUUGAAACUGGGAGACUUGAGUGUGGCAGAGGGGGGUGGAAUUCCACGUGUAGCAGUGAAAUGCGUAGAUAUGUGGAGGAACACCAAUGGCGAAGGCAGCCCCCUGGGUCAACACUGACGCUCAUGCACGAAAGCGUGGGGAGCAAACAGG